rnacentral:rRNA from 2 species
UAAAUUGAGAGUUUGAUCCUGGCUCAGGAUGAACGCUGGCGGCGUGCCUAAUACAUGCAAGUCGAACGAAACUUCUUUAUCACCGAGUGCUUGCACUCACCGAUAAAGAGUUGAGUGGCGAACGGGUGAGUAACACGUGGGCAACCUGCCCAAAAGAGGGGGAUAACACUUGGAAACAGGUGCUAAUACCGCAUAACCAUAGUUACCGCAUGGUAACUAUGUAAAAGGUGGCUAUGCUACCGCUUUUGGAUGGGCCCGCGGCGCAUUAGCUAGUUGGUGAGGUAAAGGCUUACCAAGGCAAUGAUGCGUAGCCGAACUGAGAGGUUGAUCGGCCACAUUGGGACUGAGACACGGCCCAAACUCCUACGGGAGGCAGCAGUAGGGAAUCUUCCACAAUGGGCGAAAGCCUGAUGGAGCAACGCCGCGUGGGUGAAGAAGGUCUUCGGAUCGUAAAACCCUGUUGUUAGAGAAGAAAGUGCGUGAGAGUAACUGUUCACGUUUCGACGGUAUCUAACCAGAAAGCCACGGCUAACUACGUGCCAGCAGCCGCGGUAAUACGUAGGUGGCAAGCGUUAUCCGGAUUUAUUGGGCGUAAAGGGAACGCAGGCGGUCUUUUAAGUCUGAUGUGAAAGCCUUCGGCUUAACCGGAGUAGUGCAUUGGAAACUGGGAGACUUGAGUGCAGAAGAGGAGAGUGGAACUCCAUGUGUAGCGGUGAAAUGCGUAGAUAUAUGGAAGAACACCAGUGGCGAAAGCGGCUCUCUGGUCUGUAACUGACGCUGAGGUUCGAAAGCGUGGGUAGCAAACAGGAUUAGAUACCCUGGUAGUCCACGCCGUAAACGAUGAAUGCUAAGUGUUGGAGGGUUUCCGCCCUUCAGUGCUGCAGCUAACGCAAUAAGCAUUCCGCCUGGGGAGUACGACCGCAAGGUUGAAACUCAAAGGAAUUGACGGGGGCCCGCACAAGCGGUGGAGCAUGUGGUUUAAUUCGAAGCAACGCGAAGAACCUUACCAGGUCUUGACAUCUUCUGACAAUCCUAGAGAUAGGACUUUCCCUUCGGGGACAGAAUGACAGGUGGUGCAUGGUUGUCGUCAGCUCGUGUCGUGAGAUGUUGGGUUAAGUCCCGCAACGAGCGCAACCCUUAUUGUUAGUUGCCAGCAUUAAGUUGGGCACUCUAGCAAGACUGCCGGUGACAAACCGGAGGAAGGUGGGGAUGACGUCAAAUCAUCAUGCCCCUUAUGACCUGGGCUACACACGUGCUACAAUGGACGGUACAACGAGUCGCAAGACCGCGAGGUUUAGCAAAUCUCUUAAAGCCGUUCUCAGUUCGGAUUGUAGGCUGCAACUCGCCUACAUGAAGUCGGAAUCGCUAGUAAUCGCGGAUCAGCAUGCCGCGGUGAAUACGUUCCCGGGCCUUGUACACACCGCCCGUCACACCAUGAGAGUUUGUAACACCCAAAGCCGGUGGGGUAACCUUUUGGAGCCAGCCGUCUAAGGUGGGACAGAUGAUUGGGGUGAAGUCGUAACAAGGUAGCCGUAGGAGAACCUGCGGCUGGAUCACCUCCUUUCUAAGGA